rnacentral:rRNA from 1 species
UGAACGCUGGCGGUAUGCUUAACACAUGCAAGUCGAACGCGAAAGAGACCUUCGGGUCUUGAGUAGAGUGGCGGACGGGUGAGUAACGCGUAGGAAUCUGCCUGGUAGCGGGGGACAACCUGGUGAAAACCAGGCUAAUACCGCAUACGCCCUACGGGGGAAAGCAGGGGAUCUUCGGACCUUGCACUAUCAGAUGGGCCUGCGUCGGAUUAGCUAGUUGGUGAGGUAAUGGCUCACCAAGGCGACGAUCCGUAGCUGGUUUGAGAGAAUGAUCAGCCACACUGGGACUGAGACACGGCCCAGACUCCUACGGGAGGCAGCAGUGGGGAAUAUUGGACAAUGGGCGAAAGCCUGAUCCAGCAAUACCGCGUGUGUGAAGAAGGCCCGAGGGUUGUAAAGCACUUUCAAUUGUGAAGAAAAGCCUAGGGUUAAUAGCCUUGGGUCUUGACGUUAACUUUAGAAGAAGCACCGGCUAACUCC